rnacentral:rRNA from 1 species
UACAGAGGUGGCAAGCGUUGUUCGGAAUUACUGGGCGUAAAGGGCGCGUAGGCGGUUCGUCAAGUCCUGUGUGAAAUCCCCCGGCUCAACUGGGGAACUGCACAGGAAACUAGCGGGCUUGAGUCCGGGAGAGGAGAGUGGAAUUCCUGGUGUAGCGGUGAAAUGCGCAGAUAUCAGGAAGAACACCCGUGGCGAAAGCGGCUCUCUGGAACGGUACUGACGCUGAGACGCGAAAGCGUGGGGAGCGAACAGG